AGUGAACGCUGGCGGUAGGCCUAACACAUGCAAGUCGAACGGCAGCACAGUAAGAGCUUGCUCUUACGGGUGGCGAGUGGCGGACGGGUGAGGAAUACAUCGGAAUCUACUUUUUCGUGGGGGAUAACGUAGGGAAACUUACGCUAAUACCGCAUACGACCUACGGGUGAAAGCAGGGGAUCUUCGGACCUUGCGCGUUUGAAUGAGACGAUGUCGGAUUAGCUAGUUGGCGGGGUAAAGGCCCACCAAGGCGACGAUCCGUAGCUGGUCUGAGAGGAUGAUCAGCCACACUGGAACUGAGACACGGUCCAGACUCCUACGGGAGGCAGCAGUGGGGAAUAUUGGACAAUGGGCGCAAGCCUGAUCCAGCCAUACCGCGUGGGUGAAGAAGGCCUUCGGGUUGUAAAGCCCUUUUGUUGGGAAAGAAAAGCAGCAGGUUAAUACCCCGCUGUUCUGACGGUACCCAAAGAAUAAGCACCGGCUAACUUCGUG
rnacentral:rRNA from 1 species